rnacentral:tRNA from 1 species
UCCCAUAUGGUCUAGUGGCUAGGAUACCUGGCUUUCACCCAGGAGGCCUCGGGUUCGAUUCCCGGUAUGGGAA